GACGAACGCUGGCGGCGUGCUUAACACAUGCAAGUCGAACGGAAAGGCCCUGCUUUUGUGGGGUGCUCGAGUGGCGAACGGGUGAGUAACACGUGAGUAACCUUCCCUUGACUUUUGGAUAACUUCAGUAAACUGGGGCUAAUACCGGAUAGGAGCUCCUGCUGCAUGGUGGGGGUUGGAAAGUUUCGGCGGUUGGGGAUGGACUCGCGGCUUAUCAGCUUGUUGGUGGGGUAGUGGCUUACCAAGGCUUUGACGGGUAGCCGGCCUGAGAGGGUGACCGGCCACAUUGGGACUGAGAUACGGCCCAGACUCCUACGGGAGGCAGCAGUGGGGAAUAUUGCACAAUGGGCGGAAGCCUGAUGCAGCAACGCCGCGUGCGGGAUGACGGCCUUCGGGUUGUAAACCGCUUUCGCCUGUGACGAAGCGUGAGUGACGGUAAUGGGUAAAGAAGCACCGGCUAACUACGUG
rnacentral:rRNA from 1 species